rnacentral:rRNA from 1 species
CUACCAAGGCGACGAUGCGUAGCCGACCUGAGAGGGUGAUCGGCCACACUGGGACUGAGACACGGCCCAGACUCCUACGGGAGGCAGCAGUAGGGAAUCUUCCGCAAUGGACGCAAGUCUGACGGAGCAACGCCGCGUGAGUGAUGAAGGUUUUCGGAUCGUAAAACUCUGUUGUGAGGGAAGAACAAGUACCAAGUAACUACUGGCACCUUGACGGUACCUCACCAGAAAGCCACGGCUAACUACGUGCCAGCAGCCGCGGUAAGACGGAGGAUGCAAGCGUUAUCCGGAAUGAUUGGGCGUAAAGCGUCCGCAGGUGGCAGUUCAAGUCUGCUGUCAAAGACCGGGGCUUAACUUCGGAAAGGCAGUGGAAACUGAACAGCUAGAGUAUGGUAGGGGCAGAGGGAAUUCCUGGUGUAGCGGUGAAAUGCGUAGAGAUCAGGAAGAACAUCGG